rnacentral:rRNA from 1 species
CCUACGGGUGGCAGCAGUGGGGAAUAUUGCACAAUGGGGGAAACCCUGAUGCAGCGACGCCGCGUGAGUGAAGAAGUAUUUCGGUAUGUAAAGCUCUAUCAGCAGGGAAGAAAAUGACGGUACGCGAUUCAGAAGCCCCGGCUAAGUACGUGCCAGCAGCGGCGGUAAUACGUAGGCGGCAAGCGUUAUCCGGAUUUACUGGGGGGAAAGGGAGCGUAGUCGGCAGCACGAGUAUGGAGUGAAAUGCCGGGGCUUAACCCCAGAACCGCGUUGGAAACUGGGCAGCUGGAGUGCAGGAGAGGUAAGUGGAAUGCGUGGUGUAGCGGUGAAAUGCGUAGAUAUUAGGAGGAACACCAGUGGCGAAGGCGGCUUACUGGACUGUAACUGACGUUGAGGCUCGAAAGCGUGGGGAGCAAACAGGAUUAGAUACCCGAGUAGUC